UGUUAUCUGCCGCUCCACCUUUUCCAUUUCGGUGUCCGAAGCGGCCGCCGAAAUGGAAAAGGUGGAGCGGCAGAUGGCA
rnacentral:pre_miRNA from 1 species